rfam:Nicotiana attenuata strain TT chromosome 11, whole genome shotgun sequence.
GCGCCUGUAGCUCAGUGGAUAGGGCGUUAUUUCCUAAGCUGAAGGUUGCAGGUUCGUCUAUUUCCUAAGCUGAAGGUUGCAGGUUCGACCCCUACCUGGCGCG